UCUUUCUAUUUUUUUUUGAAAUGGAGUCUUGCUCUGUUGCCCAGGCUGGAGUGCAGUGGCACACUCUUGGCUCACUGCAACCUCCACCUCCCGGGUUCAAGCGAUUCUCCCACUUCAGGCUCCCAAGUGGCUGGGAUUACAGGCACCCACCACCACACCCAGCUAAUUUUUGUACUUUUAGUAGAAAUGGGGUUUCGCCAUGUUGGCCAGGCUGGUCUCAAACUCCUGACCUCAGGUGAUCCACCCGCCUAGGCCUCCCAAAGUGUUGGGAUUACAGGCGUGAGCCACCACACCCUAGCCCUGAGUCUGUUUAUGCUUCUGUCAGGUGUGGCAUGGGCCUGCCUGGGAGCUAUUCUUUUUCUGUAAAGCACAGGCAGUUAAUCAGUGGUCUCUGGGAAGAAUCCAGCUCAGGGUUAUAUUUCGUUUGACCCACUCAAGUUUUAAAAAGUAAAUUAGUUGCCAAUGUGCAAACAUUAGAAGAGUUCACAGCUUCUCCAACAAUACCUAGAAGUUCAUCCGAUGGUGCCCGCAUUCCCUGCUCCAUCUGGAUGGUGCCCACAUUCCCUGCUCUGUCCAGACGGUGCCCACAUUCCCUGCUCUGUCUGGACGGUGCCCACAUUCCCUGAUCUGUCCGGACAGUGCCCACAUUCCCUCCUCCGUCCGGAAGGUGCCCACAUUCCCUGCUGUGUCUGGACGGUGCCCACAUUCCCUGCUCUGUCCAGAUGGUGCCCACAUUCCCUGCUCCAUCUGGACGGUGCCCACAUUCCCUCCUCUGUCUAGACAGUGCCCACAUUCCCUGCUCCGUCCGGACGGUGCCCACAUUCCCUGCUCUGUCUGGACGGUGCUCACAUUCCCUGCUCUGUCUAGACAGUGCCCACAUUCCCUGCUCCAUCCAGACGGUGCCCAUACUCCCUGCUCUGUCUAGAUGGUGUCCACAUUCCCUGCUCCGUCUAGACUGUGCCCAUAUUCGCUGCUGGCUGCAAAUGCGAGGAGUUGACAGCAGCCUCCCCUUUACAAGGCAGGAGGUGCCACUGUUCGCCAUUGUCUCCACCUAGGGCUUCACUUGCUUUCUAUCUGCAGACAUCAGAGGGACCCACAUCUCUCUGUUCUGACACGCUGUGUGUUGAUGGCAGAGUUUAAUUAUCCACAUGCAAUCUUACUUUCCUUAUUCCCAAGUCCGUGGGGCUGCCUCAUCAAAGCAUUGUAAGAACUGAUAACCAUCUUCUAGAAGUAUCAUAGUGAUAUUAAGAACACACAUCACAGAUCAUAGUAAAUGGCUUUAAUUUUUUAGCGAAAUCUCACUACUGCAA
rnacentral:lncRNA from 10 species